rnacentral:lncRNA from 1 species
UUAGGAUUGAAUUUAGGAUUUAGCAUUUGUCUAGGGUUUGAUUUAGGAUUUAGAAUUUAUCUAGGAUUUGAUUUAGGAUUUAGAAUUUAUUUAGGAUUUGAUCUAGGAUUUGGUUUAGGAUUUAGGGUUUGUCUAAGGUUUGAUUUAUGUUUUGGUUUAGAAUUUAGGGUUUAGGAUUUUUCUAAGAUUUGAUUGAAGUCUAUUAGGAUUUAAAUUAGGAUUAAAUUAGAACUUGGUUGAGUUUUAUUUAAGAUAUAUUUUUGAUUAUUCAAAUAUUUUAUAGGGCUUCUUAAGG